AGCCAAUGAUGACACGCAUGUAUUAGCAUACUUAAGGUUGAUGAAACAUGUCCAGCUCUAGAAUUGCACUGAGGUUGU